rnacentral:miRNA from 1 species
UGACAUCACAUAUAUGGCAGUU